rnacentral:rRNA from 1 species
AUUGAACGCUGGCGGCAGGCCUAACACAUGCAAGUCGAGCGAGCGGCGGACGGGGGAGUAAUGUAUGGGGACUGCCCGAUAAAGGGGGAUAACUACUGGAAACGGUAGCUAAUACCGCAUACUAUCGGAUAACCCAUAUGGGAUUAGCUAGUAGGUGAGGUAAUGGCUUACGUAGGCGACGAUCCAUAGCUGGUCUGAGUGGAUGAUCCGCCACACUGGGACUGAGACACGGCCCAUACUCCUACGGAGGCAGCAGUGGUGAAUAUUGCACAAUGUGCGCAAGCCUGAUGGAGCCAUGUCGCGUGUAUGAAGAAGGCCCUAGGGUUGUAAAGUACUUUCAGUCGGUAGGCGUUACCGACAGAAGAAGCACCGGCUAACUCCGUGCCAGCAGCCGCGGUAAUUC